UUAAGCAUCUUAUUUAAAAAGGGAGGUUUUCUCCUCGAAAAAAUCACUCCGGAAUAAGCUGCCUCUUUACACAGACAAAGACUAACAAAAUUAUAAAGCUCUUUAAAAAAUCUCUUAAAACUUUAACACGUUUUUUGGCAAAUCCUCAUAAAUAUCUAAAAUGUCACACCUUGCUCUCCCCACAUUUCUCAUUUUCGCCGUGACCACCUCCUCUACGAUCGCAGACUUUCGUCACUUUUCCAUCAAAAUAAAUUCGAACUCUCGACUAGAUUCGAAUUCUGCCGGUCAAGUGUACAUUAACUCCCCGAACGACGGUCAGUACCAAGUUUGGUCGUGGAAUGUGGACCACACCAUUCGCAACGUGGCGACCGGGCUUUGCCUCGACUCGCAGGGGUACAGCUCAUCAAGCGUUAUCACCACGACCUGCAACGCGGCGUCCAGGUCGCAGCAAUGGUUCGGCGGACCGAACAUGGGCCAAUUGUUCAACGCGGCGACGAUUUGGUGCCUUCACGUCGACACGAACUAUGCGACAAAAGUUGUCACGACUUGCUGUGGCGUUGGUGGGACGGUGUAUCAGACGUGGGGACUUUAAAUUAAGUUAAUGGAAUGUGGCAAAUUUUGUACAAAUUUUUUUCACAAUUAUAUGCGACGAAAUUGUUAUGAUUGUGAGAUUAUAUACAUAUAUAUUAAUUUAUCAAGUAAUUAUCUAAUAAUUUAUGCAAGGUUAACGAAUAAAUCUGAAAAUAAAUUACAUUGCUAAA